AUUGAACGCUGGCGGAAUGCUUUACACAUGCAAGUCGAGGCGGCAGCGCGGGGGCAACCCUGGCGGCGAGCGGCGAACGGGUGAGUAACAUAUCGGAACGUACCCCGUCGUGGGGGAUAACACAGCGAAAGCUGUGCUAAUACCGCAUACGACCUGAGGGUGAAAGCGGGGGAUCGCAAGACCUCGCGCGAUGGGAGCGGCCGAUAUCGGAUUAGCUUGUUGGUGAGGUAAAGGCUCACCAAGGCGACGAUCCGUAGCUGGUCUGAGAGGACGACCAGCCACACUGGAACUGAGACACGGUCCAGACUCCUACGGGAGGCAGCAGUGGGGAAUUUUGGACAAUGGGGGCAACCCUGAUCCAGCCAUUCCGCGUGAGUGAAGAAGGCCUCGGGUUGUAACUAGCUUUGUUACGGUAACGAAACGGUUACGUCUCUAAUACAGGGGCGUAAUGACGGUACGUAACGAAUAAGACACCGGCGUAACUACGUAGCCAGCAGCCGCGGUAA
rnacentral:rRNA from 1 species